rnacentral:lncRNA from 1 species
CUUUCCUCACGUGAUAUACACAAGCUAAUUUUUUAAGGGCGAUAAAAUAUUAUGCUUAAUACCCAAUCCAUUCUUUUAAAUCUAUUUUUCUUUUUUCUUUUUAAUUUCAAAAUUUGGAAGGAACCUUGAAGAAAGUAGAAGACGGCUUUGCAUCUGCCACAGGGUAAACCACUGCCUCUCAGGCCCCUCUACUGAUUCUACCAUAGAGGUCGACGAUAGACAAUAACUCUCCCCCGAACACAGUUUACAACUUUCAUCGUACUGUACUUUCCAAAGAGCAACUCUUCUCAAAAUCCAUGUCAUUUCCAGCACACCAACUGACUAUACUCACCAAGGCGCUUCUCUUCAUGGUCUCUUCUUCUCCAAAUGGGACUGUCACCUUAGAAAUGAAAAAACUCCGACCAACCAUCUCCCAAACCGUCUAACCUCCAUACCGCUGAACCAUCUGUUGAUGUUUUAAGACCAUGAAAAGAAGCGUCCUGAUGAGUAUAGUUGAUUCGUAUGUUGGAAAUGACUUGGAUCCCUUCGGAACAGGUGGUGUCGCCGGAGUUUUGGUGAUGGUAUUUUGGAAAUGGUAUGGAGGUUUAAUCGGUUUGACAAUGGUUUCAAUUUUAAUAAGGCCUAAUAGUACAAAAUGUCCCUACGUUUGACACCUCUUACAGAAAAUGUCCCUACCUUUGACACUUCUUGUGGAGAACGUUCAUAUGUUUCAGUGUUUUUUUUUUUUUUUUUUUUUUUUUUUUUUUCAAUUUGAAACGUAAGGACGUUUUGCACACUACAGGCCAAAUGUAGGGACGUUUUGUGCUAUUAGACAUUUUAAUAAUUAUUUGGACUCACUUGCACUUUUUAAAACAUUUAGGAGUAAGAUUGCAAUUUAUUAUUUAUUUUUCCUUUCUUUUUUUGGUAUUAUUUAAAUAUGAG